UUUAGAUUUUCUGAGAAAGUCAUAUCAUAAUGACUACAACGGAAUUACAUUAACUGUCAUUUCAGGAAUUUUGUAGAAGCUAUUUACGGUCUGAGCAUUGUCGAAUGAAAAUGUGAAAGUCUACUUCUCAUGUGAAUUCUAUCUAAAAUGUACCUGGUUUUAAAGGAUUAGCAGCUUUCAAUGAAUAGUAUAAAUUCACAUCAUAGAUUCAACAACUGAAACUCCCACGAAGCAGUUUUCAACAUGGAUAAACCAGAAAAGAAGAUAAAAAAGAGCAAAACUGAUGGUAAUACAAGGAGAAUAAGCUUGGAGACAAUAAACAAGGAGAAUAAAAGGAAUUUUUUUUACAGCCAAACUAAUGGUAAUACUAGAAGAAUAAGCUUGCUAUUACAAAUAAGAGCGAACAGGAAAAUUCCUUCGGGGACGUCUUAUGAUGCAGUCCAUUUUAUUACCUGUAUACUAACACUCAAGCGCUCAUCCUGUAUCUCUUUCUUUUUCUCGCUCAUACACAGAUCUUAACUCUCUAAAUUAUUUAAACAAUUAUGGUCUUGAGAAUGAACUGUUAAAAAUCUUCAUUUCCUUUAAAUAGAGAAAUGCUACAUAAAAAAAUAAAAUUACAGUUUUGAAAAAAGAAUGACAGUUAAAAAUUAUUCAGCGAAG